CCUCCUUUCCUUUUGGAGUUCAGGGCUUAGAGUUACUGUGGGGCUGGAAGUAAGUCAUUCCUCUUCCUUGAAGUGAUUUUUCUUGACAGGGUUGUUGUCCGCCUCACAGGAUUGCUGUGAGAAUAAAAUGAAAGAUGUGAUAUCUCGAAAUGAUGUAGGUAAACCUCACCUGACCCACAGAGUUGUGGCUGUGAAACUGGGAAGACAGCGCUGAUGUUGGAGAAGGACCUCAUACACCACAGCGUGCUCAUCGGUAGCAUCGUUGUGAAUUUGAGAAUGGCCUAGGAGGAGAGAAAAGGAGGAGAGACAGUGGGCGCCUUCAGCAAAGAAGAAAAGGGAAAACCCCUAGGGAAGAAAGAUUGAGUGGAAGAAAGAGUGGGAGGAGGGAAGAAAAACGGAAGACAUGAAGGAGUAAGAGAAAGAAGGAAAUAGAGGAGUCUGAAUACUCAAGUCCUCUGGAGAACCUGGGAAGACACAUGGCUACCUUCUCUGGGGCACAGAGGUUUGGAGGAGCCUCAGUGUUUGUGUAAGGGGUGUACUUGAGGGCUUGAAGGACCAGAGACACCUGCACUCAUUUCUAUCCCUCCUUCAGAGCUCCCCUGGUUAGCGGGGGAGCUGGGAAGGUAGUAUCCUCAGAGAGGGGCCUAGGGGCAAAACCAGAGUGGAGAGAGGCAACAAGGACCUGUUAGAACUGGAAAGGCGGGAAGGGAAGUGAGAA